AGUCGACGAUGAAUCUUCUAGCUUGCUAGAAGUGGAUUAGUGGCGCACGGGUGAGUAAUGCAUAGGUUAUGUGCCCUUUAGUCUGGGAUAGCCACUGGAAACGGUGAUUAAUACUGGAUACUCCCUACGGGGGAAAGUUUUUCGCUAAAGGAUCAGCCUAUGUCCUAUCAGCUUGUUGGUGAGGUAAUGGCUCACCAAGGCUAUGACGGGUAUCCGGCCUGAGAGGGUGAUCGGACACACUGGAACUGAGACACGGUCCAGACUCCUACGGGAGGCAGCAGUAGGGAAUAUUGCUCAAUGGGGGAAACCCUGAAGCAGCAACGCCGCGUGGAGGAUGAAGGUUUUAGGAUUGUAAACUCCUUUUGUUAGAGAAGAUUAUGACGGUAUCUAACGAAUAAGCACCGGCUAACUCCGUGCCAGCAGCCGCGGUAAUACGGAGGGUGCAAGCGUUACUCGGAAUCACUGGGCGUAAAGAGUGCGUAGGCGGGGUAAUAAGUCAGAUGUGAAAUCCUGUAGCUUAACUACAGAACUGCAUUUGAAACUGUUACUCUGGAGUGUGGGAGAGGUAGGUGGAAUUCUUGGUGUAGGGGUAAAAUCCGUAGAGAUCAAGAGGAAUACUCAUUGCGAAGGCGACCUGCUGGAACAUUACUGACGCUGAUGCACGAAAGCGUGGGGAGCAAACAGGAUUAGAUACCCUGGUAGUCCACGCCCUAAACGAUGGAUGCUAGUUGUUGCCUUGCUUGUCAGGGCAGUAAUGCAGCUAACGCACUAAGCAUCCCGCCUGGGGAGUACGGUCGCAAGAUUAAAACUCAAAGGAAUAGACGGGGACCCGCACAAGCGGUGGAGCAUGUGGUUUAAU
rnacentral:rRNA from 1 species